UACAGAGGUCCCGAGCGUUGUUCGGAUUCACUGGGCGUAAAGGGUGCGUAGGUGGCAUGGUAAGUUUGAUGUGAAAGCUCAGGGCUCAACCCUGAAAUGGCAUUGAAUACUACUGUGCUGGAGGUUUGGAGGGGGGACUGGAAUUCUCGGUGUAGCAGUGAAAUGCGUAGAUAUCGAGAGGAACACCAGUGGCGAAGGCGAGUCCCUGGACAACACCUGACACUGAGGCACGAAAGCCGGGGGAGCAAACAGG
rnacentral:rRNA from 1 species